rnacentral:rRNA from 1 species
GAACGCUGGCGGCAGGCCUAACACAUGCAAGUCGAACGGUAACAGGAAGCAGCUUGCUGCUUCGCUGACGAGUGGCGGACGGGUGAGUAAUGUCUGGGAAGCUGCCUGAUGGAGGGGGAUAACUACUGGAAACGGUAGCUAAUACCGCAUAAUGUCGCAAGACCAAAGAGGGGGGACCUUCGGGCCUCUUGCCAUCGGAUGUGCCCAGAUGGGAUUAGCUUGUUGGUGGGGUAACGGCUCACCAAGGCGACGAUCCUAGCUGGUCUGAGAGGAUGACCAGCCACACUGGAACUGAGACACGGUCCAGACUCCUACGGGAGGCAGCAGUGGGGAAUAUUGCACAAUGGGCGCAAGCCUGAUGCAGCCAUGCCGCGUGUAUGAAGAAGGCCUUCGGGUUGUAAAGUACUUUCAGCGGGGAGGAAGGGAGUAAAGUUAAUACCUUUGCUCAUUGACGUUACCCGCAGAAGAAGCACCGGCUAACUCCGUG